AGGGAUCAUUACCGAGUUUACAACUCCCAAACCCAAUGAGAACCAUACCAAACUGUUGCCUCGGCGGGGUCACGCCCCGGGUGCGUCGCAGCCCCGGAACCAGGCGCCCGCCGGAGGGACCAACCAAACUCUUUUCUGUAGUCCCCUCGCGGACGUUAUUUCUUACAGCUCUGAGCAAAAAUUCAAAAUGAAUCAAAACUUUCAACAACGGAUCUCUUGGUUCUGGCAUCGAUGAAGAACGCAGCGAAAUGCGAUAAGUAAUGUGAAUUGCAGAAUUCAGUGAAUCAUCGAAUCUUUGAACGCACAUUGCGCCCGCCAGUAUUCUGGCGGGCAUGCCUGUCCGAGCGUCAUUUCAACCCUCGAACCCCUCCGGGGGGUCGGCGUUGGGGAUCGGGAACCCCUAAGACGGGAUCCCGGCCCCGAAAUACAGUGGCGGUCUCGCCGCAGCCUCUCCUGCGCAGUAGUUUGCACAACUCGCACCGGGAGCGCGGCGCGUCCACGUCCGUAAAACACCCAACUUCUGAAAUGUUGACCUCGGAUCAGGUAGGAAUACCCGCUGAACUUAA
rnacentral:rRNA from 1 species